AUUGAACGCUGGCGGCAUGCCUUACACAUGCAAGUCGAGCGGAAAGGCCACUUCGGUGGUACUCGAGCGGCGAACGGGUGAGUAACACGUGAGUAAUCUGCCCCUGGCUUUGGGAUAGCCACCGGAAACGGUGAUUAAUACCGGAUAUGACCACGUCUCGCAUGGGGUGUGGUGGAAAGUUUUUCGGCCAGGGAUGUGCUCGCGGCCUAUCAGCUUGAUGGUGAGGUAAUGGCUCACCAUGGCUUCGACGGGUAGCCGGCCUGAGAGGGUGACCGGUAACACUGGAACUGAGACACGGCCCAGACUCCUACGGGAGGCAGCAGUGGGGAAUAUUGGACAAUGGGCGGAAGCCUGAUCCAGCAACGCCGCGUGAGGGAUGACGGCCUUCGGGUUGUAAACCUCUUUCAGUACCGACGAAGCGCAAGUGACGGUAGGUACAGAAGAAGCACCGGCCAACUACGUGCCAGCAGCCGCCGUAACAC
rnacentral:rRNA from 1 species